rnacentral:lncRNA from 1 species
AGCCACGGAUUUAAGGGGGGGCUGGUGGGGGCUUAAGCCCCCCCCCCAAGAUUUGGACGGUAAGGAUAAGAUUGCAUUUGUCAAAACAAUUUUUCUGAGUCCGUUGUUUCCUUUGUCAAUUAAUUUCUUACCCUCGUGACUGCCUGUAGUCAAGAGUAAACAUUUUGGUUUAGAGUAGGCCAAAAAAAUUUUUUUUUUUUUUUUUUGGGUUAGAAGGAAGAGUAGACCAAAGUUCAAAUAGAAAAGUCAAUUGUUGCUGGUGUCCAUGGCCCAUGGAUUUGACUGACGUUGGGAAAAUGGACAGAAGGCCCAUCGAAGCGUGCAAUUCUUCAGCCCAGCUCAGCUGGUGUCAAACUGUCAAUUGUUGCUGCCUCAAGAGGUCACGAGUGGUGCCGUUGGAAUUAAACAAACAUUUAUUCUCUUCACAAAAGUGCUGCUACGAAUGUUGCUCCGGUUUGGCAAGUGAGUUUUUUGGAUUUUUGUCUAAAACUUUACUGUAUCUUACUAUAGAAGUUUUUUUAAAAAAUUUUGAAGUGCGUAAAUUUUUGAAUAUUUUGAAGUGUGUAGUUUAAAAAUUUUGAGAAAUUUUUGAGAUUACUAUAAUUAAAGUUUUUAAAAAAUUUGUAGCAAAUAAACUUGGCAAAGCUCUGAAGCUGCCCCAAAGUAACUGCUGCUGGGAAUCCUAAUCCAUUAUAUUACGGUGGUAGGUAAGAGCAGAGGUCCAUCUUCCGACUGUGCUUUUUUUUUUUUUUCCUGCAAUCCCAUCGAGAAGGAUAUUUUUGCAACAAUUGAAAAUGAGCAAAUAUUGCAGCGUUUUCAACGGAUGAAGACUCGCAGAAUGCAAUUGCCUCCUCUUCGUUAUUCGAGUGCAACAACUACCAAUACUUCAAGUGUUAAUCAAUAACAAAUUUUUGGGUAUGUAUAAUUAUAUGUUUUUAUUAUUUUUAUAAUUAUUGAUUCUAAAUUUUACUUAUUAAAUAUAUUUAUUUUGUC